UACGAAGGGGGCUAGCGUUGCUCGGAAUUACUGGGCGUAAGGGCGCGUAGGCGGAUAGUUUAGUCAGAGGUGAAAGCCCAGGGCUCAACCUUGGAACUGCCUUUGAUACUGGCUAUCUUGAGUUCGGGAGAGGUGAGUGGAAUGCCGAGUGUAGAGGUGAAAUUCGUAGAUAUUCGGCGGAACACCAGUGGCGAAGGCGACUCACUGGCCCGAUACUGACGCUGAGGCGCGAAAGCGUGGGAGCAAACAGG
rnacentral:rRNA from 1 species